rnacentral:tRNA from 1 species
UUCCUGACUGUUGAGUGGUUAAGACACUGCACUCCCAAUGUAGGGGGCAUAGGUUCAAUCCCUGGUUAGGAAA